rnacentral:lncRNA from 1 species
UAAGUCUCUGAUGAACUCGAUGCCUCCCUUCAUAAGUUCAUCAUACCGUCAUACGGAGUACGUAUGUGCAGCAACAAAAGGGAAGUUUUCCCUGACCAUGUUCCUCUUCUCUCUGUGCAGGAAAGGGUUGUCGAAAUACUACGACGGAAAGUCCCAGUCGUUCGCGUGCAUGUCCGAGGUGAGAUGCCUGGAGGACCUGCCCAAGAAGAGCCCCUACAAGAAGAUCAAGUCGUGCAGGAGCAACAUCGAUCUGGAUGGGAACCAGAAAGCCUACCCCUUACCUGGUUCUAACAACAGCAAAGGAAUCGCCAAGCAGAACUCUGCGAGCUCCUGCGCGAAUCUGAUGAUGGCGCGGACCAGCAGCGCCAACAUGCUCUACAGGCCUCCCGCGAUCCCUGUCAACAAGAGCGCGUGCCAUCAGUAGGGCUCGCGGCUGCAAAUGUCUGUCCAUGGCUGGCCUCGCGCCUCUUCGUUGUUCCUUGUUGAGGAUUUUUCUUGGCGGGCGUAUUAGCCUGUCAAAUGUAAAGAGGCUUUUGCUUCUCUCAUGUUCUUCAGGAAGACAUUGAUUGAUUCAGUCUGUAAAUACAGAGACCGGUUGUAUACCAAACAUUUCUAUUGAUGCGUGCCCCCUCCACCGCACGGCCAUAAAUCUAUACCCAUUUUGUCUGGAUUUUAUCCGUAUGAGAUAGAAAUAAGGAAAACAAACGCCGGACAAACUCGCUGCACCCAACGCUGCUAUCCCAUUUCACCAGCUGUCCGUCCUCGUCAUUUCUUCAAAUACGUAGCCGGCAUAUGUGGCCGCUCCUGCUCAUGCACGCCCCCGCUCCAGUCGCGACCGCAUGCCCGCCGUCGCGCUCGACGCCUCGCCGUGCUUGUGCCCUCGCUCCCGCCGCGCCCGCGCGCACGCCUCUCCCGCCUCUGGAUUUCUGGAUUUCAUUAAAGGAAACUGACUGAGAAUGAAUCUCUGGAUUUCAUUAAUGAUGAUUGGGGUAUAUAUACCCUCCCAACAGCCGCCAAUUAAGGCGGUAAUUACAAAGAGACAUGUCCGUGCGGGCACAGGCGUCCGCACGGAGCAGGAGAGGCGGUGGACACACACAACCGUCUAAUGACGGUUCUAAUUACAAUUAAUCCUAAUUAAUUUUAUUCCUAACACUCCCCCUUGUACAAUGCCUGCUCCUUGCAUCAUCUUGAGAAAUCCAUCGUAUAGUCUUUAAAGUCUUCUCCAAAAACCCUGUGGGAAAAAUAUGAGAAGAAUAGUGUAGAUAUGUUGCUAAAACUCCUUUAAACCCAGUGGGAAAAAUAAUAAGGAGAAAAUGAUGCAACAUAUAAUGAUCAUUGUCUCUUGAUAACUCAUAUGAGAAAAACCUUUGAAGGAGAAAACCCAUCGAUGAUUUUAGAGAACAAUUAAUAUGUCUUGAGUACUUCCUUUAAAAACCCCGGUAUGGAAAAUAGGAAGUAUGACAUAUCAUCUUUGAGAGGAUAUUGCCUCAUUAAAAACCAUUAUGAGAAACUAUCAGAUAAAACUCAUAAGGGAAAAGAGUGCAAUAUGAUAUGCCAUUGAAAACUCCUUUAAAACCCAGUGGGAAAAACAUAAGGAAAAAAUGGCAUAUAUGGACACUUGUGUUAUUUUGUCUCAUUAAAAAACUUUUAUGAGAAACCAUUAGGGAAAAACUCAUGAAGGGAAAAAGAGUACAAUAUACGCAAUCUGAUGAUUGUUAACAUGUUAUAUUGGGAGAUUACUCCCCCUGAACUUUGCAAAUCUAGAGGAUAUGUUAUACCAGUUCCAUUGACAUGAUCAUGACAAUCUGAAUAAUCUGUUGGAUUUUCACAGUAUUUUAUUUGCAAACUGUUGUCUCACUUUUCUAUAAUUCGUGAGGAUAAGAAAUUCAAGCAAUGUGAUUUAUGAUAUUGCUCUUCAUAUAACAUGUAAGUAUUGAGUAACACAAGUGGUAGUAUCUUGAUAAAUCAAGUUAUGUGAUUCAAAUGAAUCUCAACCACAUGACUUUGAGUGUGGUUAAUCAUGCUACUGAGUCAUGCAUACUUUGCAAUGCUGUUAGAUAAAAGAAUUAUGUCUGAAUGAUAAGUGAAAGUAGCCAUUAAAGUAUAUUUAGACGACUUCCAUAAGAAGGCUAUUCCAGUCAAUUCAGUCAUUGAUAUGUCAUUUUUGGGAUCAAUAAGUAGCCAAUAUCAUUAUAUCAUAUCAUGGUCAUAUCUUGAUUUUCCUGAUGGAAUUGUCCAAGAUUUAUUGUGAUCUUGAGAUAGAAGUUGAUAUUCCUUAUAUCAACCAUAUACCUUUUGUUGGGGCUGCACUCUGAACAAACAUAGCAAGUAUAGUGUCAGGCCUGACGUAGUUUGCAGUUAUAUGAGUGCUUCGGUAUUAGUGAGAUAAAGAACUUCAGGUCCUGAUAUCACUUCAUUAUCACCCCUAGGUAUAAAUAGAUUUGUAUCCGAUCAGGGUAGUAUGACCAUAUAUGUACUUCUAUUGGUAUGAUAUAUCCACAUUGAACUUCUCAUAUAUGUUUUGGAUAUAUGUAGACUAAUAUGCAUUUCUUGAGAGAACGCUCAAGUUGUAAACUUAAGCUAAAUUUUCUUGAAUCCAAAUUUUCCGUCUUGAGAUGAUUUUGUGCAUGUUUAGGUCUUGUAUAGACAUUGAUGAUGAGGUCAUGGAUAUACAUUGAGGUCAUGAAAGGAAAUCAAAUUGAUUCCUUUGUUAAACAUGUAAUUAAUCAUCAUUAUUUGAGUAGUCCUUUUGAAGAAGGAACUCAUUUAGUCGGUAGUACCAUAUGAUUUUCGACUAAUUCAAGUCAUAGAGUGACUUAUGAAGUUUUACACAAAACUUGUUGCGAUUUGCUUUUGGAUUCGGAAGUAUAAGCCCUUCAGGGACUUCAAUAGAGAUUUCUGAAAUGAGUGACUCAUAUGAGUAUGUAGCCACUUCAUCCAUCAACUGCAUGGACAUUAUUAUUAUUAUUAUUAUUAUUGCCAAUGAUAUUUAGUAUCGAAACAUAAUUCCACUCAUACCAAGCGGGUAUGACAUCGUAAUCGAUGUCGGGUCUCUGCGUGAACCCUUUUGCUACAAGCCUCGCUUUCUCACCACCUCAUUGACUUUGUCUAUGAAUGAGAAGUUUUUAGUAUUCCAUAUGGAAGAUACUUAUGAGGAUUGGGUAUUACUGCGGUAAAUACCACUCGUUUGCAAAGCGAGUACUAUUCUUCAUUACUUGCUUCCUUUUAUGUGAACCAAUAUGAGUGCAAGAGGCACUCUACCAUGGAUUUUGGUUCAGGGCCCAAAAGGUUUAGCAAUUUGAGAAGAAAUAUAUGUCGACAAAUGUAGUCUUUAGUUUAUAUGAUUCUGAUGGAAUCAUUGAAGUUUGUGGGUAAUAUAUUUAUUCCUUUUUAACUCCUUGUGAUUUCCUAUAACAAAUGGGGUCAAGGCGUUUCGAUGUCCCGGCACCAAAACAUUUGUGCACAUUUAUGUCGGGCUUUGGAUGAUGAGCAUCCAGUGAGGUGUCUUUCAACUUGAUGUUGAAUUACAUUUACUGGUUAAGGUUUUGAUUUCCUAUGUUUCCGCGGAAGCAUAUGAGAAGUUAUAUCUCGUGUUCUCAGAUUUUCUCCCCCUCUUUCUCUCAUUUGGGGAGAAGAGUGGUCUAUUAGGUACCUCCACUCUUUCUGACACAUUACUGCAAGAAUAUAAAAUUUAGUGACACCUUGUCAUCAGUAAAUGUAUGUGGCAAAUUUGCAAUGUGUUGCAAAUUUAUGAUUCUCUAAACUUCUAGUUCAGAUUAUUUGAUUACGUGGAUAUAAGGAUUGAAUGUCAAUAACAUUUUUUAUUUUAUUUCUCGGCAUUCUUUGUGGUACGUAUCUCCCCCUAAUGCCGGAAAAUAUCCUUCUUGCUGAUGCAAUCAGCAUACGGGCUAUGAAUAAUUUUGAUUGACAGAUAAACUGUUAUUCCUCACACAGAUCCCUAAUUUUCUGUGAGUGCCCAUUGAUGUAUGCUGGAGUGGUGAUAUCGGUAUGUAACCGAAUUAUCGCAGAUGGGAAAUACUUUGUUAAUUUCCACUUAGUUACCACAAGGGGAAUGUAGUAUGAUAUGCAGUUGGUAUGAUUUAGAUCAUACUUACGGUGUGUAAGGCCGUAUUUGUCUAGCAAGAGGCUAGUAAAUUUACAAUUCUUUAAAAGUGGCCAUGUAAUUUAUUUGACUAUCUUUGAUAAUAAAUUUAGUUAAACCAUUCCGGGCAUGUACAUAGGGUACUGAAUGUAAUCAGAAAAUUCUCGUGAAAUAAGUUCAAUGGCGUUGUCCAUUUGAAUGGUUUUAUCCUUUGUUCAGGAGAAUUUGCUCCUACUUUGAUAAGUUAAGCAAUUUAUUGGGUAGGAUCAUGGUUGUGUGUGAUAAGACACACUUAAAAACAUUUUAUGAGUGUGUAUAUGAGUACCAUGAAGUGUCUAAAUUACCCCAGAUAAUGGUUCAACAUUCCACAUAUAUCUUUUGAAUGUGUUCAAGGAAGAAUAAGUGGCUCAUUUAGAAUUUUAAGGUGAGAGUUCAUUAAAACUGAUUUCCCUUAUGGCACAUGUGGUGCACAUAUCAUCUGAUGAUAUGGGGAAUAUUUUGCAACUUGUUAAGUUGUGACCAACCGAAUUGUCAACAAUUUUCUAAUGAUCCCCAAACCAGGAUGGCUAAGUAGUCUAUCAAGCAUAAUAUUUAAUUUAUUAAUACUUAGAAAAUCAUUGUGUACGCAACAAUAUUGAGUAUGAAUUGAAACAUAUAUUCAAAUUUGUCGAAUAUUGUAUCCAAUGGAUAUGAUAUUGGACAUUUUACUACAUGUGGUAGUACUAGUAUGGGCUAAUAAUAUAUUGGGAUAAUUAGGAGAUUACCUGAGGUCCCGAUAUUUUUGAGUGCAAAUGUUUUCAUCCUCCAUUUUCUGCAGUAGAUUUUGUUCCUCCUUCUCAUGAAGAAUCUGAGAGCAAUCCUUUACCAGAAUUCGGUUGUUAUUUGCAAAUUUAUCCCAUUGAACUUAUUAGCCUUUUAAUAAAUUUGUGGUGUGGUUUGACCAUAUAUUUGAGGAUUUGGUAAUCAUAGGUAUGAUGUUUGUAUAACCACACAUUUGACAAACUGGAGAUUUGUCUUUGUGAUCAUUUGAAAAUGAUUUAUUCCUAUUAAGAGGUAAUUCUAUCUUCGGUUGUCUUUUAGCCUCCACUUUACUUUUUAAUUUCACAUGGUUCUAUUUUGCGAUCAUGAAGUUGCACAAAAUACUAAGUACUAGCAAGAAUUUCAAAUAAUAGAAUAGAACCCGUUGGGUGAAUCUGAUGAUUUGAAGAAAUUCCAUGUUUCUUCGUCAUGGAAAAUGGUAGUACCAUCAUAUGAGCAUGUAAAGGGUAUUAAGGGCUUUUUCAACCAGAUUUACAUAUGAAAAUAUUUGAUCAUUGAUCUCAACUUGAAGUUGAUUAAAUGACAGAAUUGUGAUCUGCGAUAGACUUGAGGUCUUGAAACAUGAAUGGGUGAUCAUUCGCGAUGUGCUGAUGGCAGCAUGUUUCUCUUAAGUAAAAUAUUUGAGAUGAAUAAAUAUUCAUCCAUUACAUACUUAGUUUGAGAACUAAGUGAGGUUGGUGACAUAUAAAUUCCGUAUGUGCAUAUUUAGCUAUCAAUAGAAUAGCCAUGUGUUACAUGAAAUGAUCAUGCAUUAUUUAAUUUACUUCCUGGAGUAAAAGAUAUAUAUGGAUGAAAUGAUCUUGUUGAGCACAAUCCACCAAGGUGAUGCUUGGUGAACAUGGGGUGUACACCUUCAAGUGCAUGCGAUGAAAUCGUUGCUAAUGUUUUGGGCUUCUUUCUUGAGGAAAAAUGUGUGACUUUAGAGUCACGACCAAAACAUGGACUUUGUAAUUUUAACAUUGGUUAGGUACCAUGUAAAUAAUAACCACAAUGUGAUGUGGAUCUUGCAACCGUGUUUGAGACACUCGAUCGUUGCAAUAAAUUCAUUGUAUCCAUCUUGACGAAUGGACGAAAUCAUAAUUAGAAAUAGUGACAUAUGCUCAACUGCCAUGUAUUUAACCAAUAUAAUAGAAGGUAAUUACCAUGGUAUGCAUAUAUUUGCGCAAUUCUCUGCAAGUUAUUCAAGCAAAAUGAGGCUUGAAUUUGAUAUUGGUAGAUAAUACCGUUCAACAUGUAAUGAUCAUGCAUGAAUUUACUAUGAUAGUAAAGAAUUUUAGUGAACAACAACAAUUGCUUCAGAGGAGUAAAUUUUGGAAUAGCUGAUGCUUUACAACCAUAUGUGUAGACCUCAAUUUAUAGGAUAACACUUUGAAGAUAAUCACCAAUAUGUUGUAGAUCUCACAGUAAUAGAAAACAUAGUCUGACUUUUGCCAGUAGAUGUUACAAAUCCUAUUACCUUAUGUUAUACUAAAUGUAGUGGAUAGUCUGCAAAAUUUGCAGUAGAUGCCAGUAUUACCUUAUGAUAUCUUGAGGUAGUCACAUAUAAUAUUAAUAUUUGGAAGAGCACUUCGAAGGUAGUCAUCUUAUCAAAAUGACAAGACGUAGACCUCACAAUAAUUGUGGAUAAUCGAAACAAAGCCUGAGGGCUUGAGUGAGAAAUAUAAGUCCUCUUUGUUAGUAGAUAAAAUAGAAGGAGCAAAAUGCAAAUAUUCCGAUUGGAUAAGGUUUCCCAAUCUCAUCUCUUGUGCGUGCGUGCUGGGCUGAUGGCCAUUCAGAGACCAUCGCCAUUGUUGACUGCUUAGGGACAACGCUCGCCGGCGUCUUGCCGCGUUCUGCUGCCACGCUGCUGCGAGACUGAAGUCGUUCAGGAGGACGCCGAUGCGCCGCGUGCCGGCUGUGCGCCCUUGCCUGUAGGGGAGGCGUGCAACUACGGGGUGGAUGUGCGCGGUGGCCGGGCUGCGUGCCGGCUAUGCGCCGAGUGGUGGAGGACGCCGUCGUCGCCAAAUGCGGAGGUACGCACGGCGGGGGUUCUUCCCUUGUUUCCUCUGGAUGUUUUGUUGAUGGUAGUUGCGAUGGACGACGAGAUUGUCAUAGUGGACGAUGGAGAAGGGGAAAAUGUGAACAAAAAGUUUGUUCGUCAUCUUCUAAUCUUGUUCUUGAUGUUGAUUCUUCUUCUUGAUUGAGGAUUUCUUCCUCUUUCUGUUAGAGUAGCGAUCAAUCCAUCUCACUACGAGCAUACGCCAGGUGAAACGAUUUUCAAAACAGAACAGUUGUUAGAUCUGUGAUUGAUUGCAAGAAGACAAAAACAAAUUGAAGAAUCUCCUGAUCCAGUUUUCCUCUUCUGCAGAAGCAUGUCCAUUGAUUCCUGCCAUGGAAGGGUUGUGGUUGAUCGAAUCGGCAGCGAUUGAAAUUCUCCUAUGCUGAAGCCGUGCGCGCUGGAUGGAGUCGUCAUCGUGAGUACAGGGGCAGACGCUGGCGCCGCCGUGACUAAUGUCGCCAUCCGCGCAAGACUCGAUGCUGCAGUCCGCCGCGCGAGAUAACGCCGGCAGCGCUGGGAAUCGCGCGAGGCGUCGAGGAGGUCUGGCCUAAUCGCUCUGUUAGGGCAAGGUGCUGAUAACGUGUUAAAGGAAACAGACUGAGAAUGAAUCUCUGGAUUUCAUUAAUGAUGAUUGGGGUAUAUAUACCCUCCCAACAGCCGCCAAUUAAGGCGGUAAUUACAAAGAGACAUGUCCGUGCGGGCACAGGCGUCCGCACGGAGCAGGAGAGGCGGUGGACACACACAACCGUCUAAUGACGGUUCUAAUUACAAUUAAUCCUAAUUAAUUUUAUUCCUAACAACUUGCAAGGCAGCAUCAUCUCAUCUCCACCACAACAUGGCAUGGCCUGAGAUGUCAGCCUCGCAAACCAACUCCCCAAAAAGGAUAAUAAUAAUCAUAUAAUAAACCGACCAGCGAACAAACUAAGGAGAUGGAGAUAAGAUCGGAUCGGGGCGGCACCAGCGGCAGAAUCCGCCAAAGCGAAGGCAUGUGGGUGGGAGUGGCCAACAAACUUCAAUACUACUCCGUUUUUAUUUCUGAAAAGAAAAUGAUAAGCCGUGCUCAUGGGGUCCAAGUCAUCGGUGUCCAAGCGAACCUAACUUGCGCAAUGUAAACACGCCGGAAACGAACGGUGAUGUCACUGGCGCAAAUUGCGUUCGGUUUCGAAGUAUUAGUCAAAGCGCACUACCACGACGCCCAGCGUUAUCCCCGUCGUCUCUAUAUAUACCCGCCCUCCUGCCAGAUUGUAAAGGUCGUGAAACACAGCCAGCAACAGCAAGAACAAGAGCAGGAAUAUAUCCAUCCAUAUACAGCAGCAAGCAUACCUUCCUCGCCUUUCUCCUUGAGGUUCAUCGCAGAAACAAGAAACUCGCAGCCAUGGACAGAUCUGCUGUUUCUCAGGCCCUUCCGGUGCACCAGGAAGACGAGGACCUGUUCGAGACCUCCUCCUCCUUCUCCUGCGACUCCGACGACGAGGCCCAGUUCUCAGACGGCGAGGACCAGUUUGUGCCGGCUUCCCCGCCGGUGCGGAGACUCAACUCUGACAGCGUCUACGAUCUGUCGUCCAUGAAGGCCGAACUCUCCGCCAAGUAAGUCUCUGAUGAACUCGAUGCCUCCCUUCAUAAGUUCAUCAUACCGUCAUACGGAGUACGUAUGUGCAGCAACAAAAGGGAAGUUUUCCCUGACCAUGUUCCUCUUCUCUCUGUGCAGGAAAGGGUUGUCGAAAUACUACGACGGAAAGUCCCAGUCGUUCGCGUGCAUGUCCGAGGUGAGAUGCCUGGAGGACCUGCCCAAGAAGAGCCCCUACAAGAAGAUCAAGUCGUGCAGGAGCAACAUCGAUCUGGAUGGGAACCAGAAAGCCUACCCCUUACCUGGUUCUAACAACAGCAAAGGAAUCGCCAAGCAGAACUCUGCGAGCUCCUGCGCGAAUCUGAUGAUGGCGCGGACCAGCAGCGCCAACAUGCUCUACAGGCCUCCCGCGAUCCCUGUCAACAAGAGCGCGUGCCAUCAGUAGGGCUCGCGGCUGCAAAUGUCUGUCCAUGGCUGGCCUCGCGCCUCUUCGUUGUUCCUUGUUGAGGAUUUUUCUUGGCGGGCGUAUUAGCCUGUCAAAUGUAAAGAGGCUUUUGCUUCUCUCAUGUUCUUCAGGAAGACAUUGAUUGAUUCAGUCUGUAAAUACAGAGACCGGUUGUAUACCAAACAUUUCUAUUGAUGCGUGCCCCCUCCACCGCACGACCAUAAAUCUAUACCCAUUUUGUCUGGA